CACGUAGGGUGCGAGCGUUGUCCGGAAUUAUUGGGCGUAAAGAGCUCGUAGGUGGUUCGGUAAGUCGGAUGUGAAAUCUCCAGGCUCAACCUGGAGGGGUCAUUCGAUACUGCCGUGACUAGAGGUCGGUAGGGGAGUGUGGAAUUCCUGGUGGAGCGGUGAAAUGCGCAGAUAUCAGGAGGAACACCCGUAGCGAAGGCGGCACUCUGGGCCGAUACUGACACUGAGGAGCGAAAGCGUGGGGAGCGAACAGG
rnacentral:rRNA from 1 species